rnacentral:rRNA from 1 species
UACGUAGGUGACCAGCGUUGUCCGGAUUUACUGGGCGUAAAGAGCGCGCAGGCGGUCGUUCAAGUCGAGUGUGAAAGCCCCCGGCUCAACUGGGGAGGGUCACUCGAUACUGAUCGACUUGAAGGCAGGAGAGGGAAGCGGAAUUCCCGGUGUAGUGGUGAAAUGCGUAGAUAUCGGGAGGAACACCAGUGGCGAAGGCGGCUUCCUGGCCUGUUCUUGACGCUGAGGCGCGAAAGCUAGGGGAGCAAACGGGAUA